CCACGAAACCACUACAAAAGCAGCCAGCCUCGCGGGUCACCGUGUAAUGGGCUCGGCAGCACGACAGCGACAGCUAUGGCUCGACCUAACUGGCUCGUCUUUGCUGUGCAGCGGUAACUCAGUCAGUU
rnacentral:lncRNA from 1 species